UUUUUUAAGUAUUUUCUUAUUUAAUUUUUUGGGGGGUUAUUUUUGUUUUUUCUUUUUUUUUUCUCGU
rnacentral:ribozyme from 1 species